UCGGCCCCGGUUCACGCUGCCGCACCCCGCGGAAGCGACCCGGUGCC
rfam:Streptomyces glaucescens strain GLA.O, complete genome.